rnacentral:rRNA from 1 species
AGAUCGGGAUAACACCUGGAAACAGAUGCUAAUACCGGAUAAUAACAGAUGAUGCCUAUCAACUGUUUAAAAGAUGGUUCUGCUAUCACUCUUGGAUGGACCUGCGGUGCAUUAGCUAGUUGGUAGGGUAACGGCCUACCAAGGCGAUGAUGCAUAGCCGAGUUGAGAGACUGAUCGGCCACAUUGGGACUGAGACACGGCCCAAACUCCUACGGGAGGCAGCAGCG